GAUGAAGAACGUAGCGAAAUGCGAUAAGUAAUGUGAAUUGCAGAAUUCAGUGAAUAAUCGAAUCUUUGAACGCACAUUGCGCCCGCCAGUAUUCUGGCGGGCAUGCCUGUCCGAGCGUCAUUUCAACCAUCAAGCCCCGGGCUUGUGUUGGGGACCUGCGUCCGACGCAGGCCCUGAAAACCAGUGGCGGGCUCGCUGUCCACACCGAGCGUAGUAACUAACCUCGCUAUGGAGUGGCGCGGGCGCCUGCCGUAAAACCCCCAAUUUUUACAAGGUUGACCUCGGAUCAGGUAGGAAUACCCGCUGAACUUAAGCAUAUCAAUAAGCGGAGGA
rnacentral:misc_RNA from 1 species